CAGUCGCCGCGGGAAUACAGAGGGUGCGAGCGUUAAUCGGAUUUACUGGGCGUAAAGCGUGCGUAGGCGGCUUUUUAAGUCGGAUGUGAAAUCCCUGAGCUUAACUUAGGAAUUGCAUUCGAUACUGGGAAGCUAGAGUAUGGGAGAGGAUGGUAGAAUUCCAGGUGUAGCGGUGAAAUGCGUAGAGAUCUGGAGGAAUACCGAUGGCGAAGGCAGCCAUCUGGCCUAAUACUGACGCUGAGGUACGAAAGCAUGGGGAGCAAACAGGAUUAGAUACCCGAGUAGUCCCUGUCUCUUAUAU
rnacentral:rRNA from 1 species